rnacentral:rRNA from 1 species
UGCAUGCAAGUCGAGCGAAGCUUUUCAGUAGUUUACUACAGAAAAUGACUGAGCGGCGAACGGGUGAGUAACGCGUGAGCAAUCUACCUUAGUUACAGGGAUAGCCCGAGGAAACUCGGAUUAAUACCUGAUAUUCUUUAUAUUUCGCAUGAAAUUAAAAGGAAAGGUCAGCCGAACUAAGAUGAGCUCGCGUUCUAUCAGCUAGUUGGUGAGGUAAAAGCUCACCAAGGCUACGACGGAUAGCUGGUCUGAGAGGACGAUCAGCCACACUGGGACUGAGACACGGCCCAGACUCCUACGGGAGGCUGCAGCAGGGAAUAUUGUGCAAUGAACGAAAGUUUGACACAGCGACACCGCGUGUGGGAUGACGGAUCUAGGUUUGUAAACCACUUUCAGGAGGGAAGAAAAUGACGGUACCUCCACAAGAAGCCCCGGCCAACUACGUGCCAGCAGCCGCGGUAAUACGUAGGGGGCGAGCGUUGUCCGGAUUUAUUGGGCGUAAAGAGCUCGUAGGCGGUUCAACAAGUCGUUCGUGAAAGUUCAGGGCUCAACCCUGAAAUGUCGAUCGAUACUGUUGUGACUAGGGAUACGGUA